CAAUAAACCUGACAGCAGCGAACACGUAGUGCAACGGAGUAAAGCGGAUGGCAGGGCUAAAG
rnacentral:sRNA from 1 species